rnacentral:rRNA from 1 species
CGGGUCGCAGCAGUGGGGAAUAUUGGACAAUGGGCGAAAGCCUGAUCCAGCAAUCCCGCGUGUGUGAAGAAGGCCUUAGGGUUGUAAAGCACUUUCAAUUGGGAGGAAAACCUGCCGGUCAAUACCCGGUAGCUUGACAUUACCUUUAGAAGAAGCACCGGCUAACUCCGUGCCAGCAGCCGCGGUAAUACGGAGGGUGCGAGCGUUAAUCGGAAUUACUGGGCGUAAAGCGUGCGUAGGUGGUUCGUUAAGUCAGAUGUGAAAGCCCUGGGCUCAACCUGGGAACUGCAUUUGAAACUGGCGGACUAGAGUUUAGUAGAGGGGAGUGGAAUUUCAGGUGUAGCGGUGAAAUGCGUAGAUAUCUGAAGGAACACCAGUGGCGAAGGCGACUCCCUGGACUAAAACUGACGCUGAGGGACGAAAGCGUGGGUAGCAAACAGGAUUAGAUACCCUUGU